GGCUUCUAGUUUGGGUUUGAAGUCUGGCCUGCCCAGUGAAAAUUUUUAACGGCCGCGGUAUUUUGACCGUGCAAAGGUAGCAUAAUCAUUAGUCUUUUAAUAGGAGGCUGGUAUGAAGGGCUUGACGAGAUAUCUCCUGUCUCAUUUUGAAAUUAUUGGAACUUAAUUUUUAAGUUAAAAAGCUUAAAUUUUUUUGGAAGACGAGAAGACCCUAUAGAGCUUUAUUAUUAAUAUUUUAUAAUACUUUUGUUUUAUUAUUUUUUAUAAUAUAUUAUUAAUUUUGUUGGGGUGAUGAAAUUAUAUAAUUAACUUUUUUAUUUAUAAUACAUUUAUUUAUGUUAAUUAGAUCCAUUAUUAUUGAUUAUUAGAAUAAGUUACCUUAGGGAUAACAGCGUAAUCCUUUUUGGGAGUUCAAAUCUACAAAUGGGCUUGCGACCUCGAUGUUGGAUUAAGAUAAUGGUUUGGUGCAGCAGCUUUACCAAUAGGUCUGUUCGACCUUUAAAUUCUUACAUGAUCUGAGUUCAGACCGG
rnacentral:rRNA from 1 species